UGUGGUGGAGAUUGAGGCAUCGAACGUUUCUAUAGCUGUUCGUUAUACCCGCACAUAUUGUAGGAAUUAGGCUCAUUGCUAAAUUUUUUCAUGUGUUUGAUCUUGCUUCAGCAUAAAAAUAAUUACGACAAGAUUUAAUGUCCGUCCCCACAUUGACACAACAGAGUUACAACAACGAUGCGGAACAAAAGAAAGGUUAAUAUUCGUGCUUCAUUUGUUUCUCGACGGCACGGCGCCUCCACUGCCCCGCCCUUCUCUGUGUGUACUCUUGUGUUGUGAGCGGGUGUGUCUGCUUCUGCUGCUCCCCUGGCUCCGCCUGGUGCCUCUGCGGCGGCCAGCUGGCGCGCGAAACAUCCUUUGGUGGUCACUGGGGCUGCUUGACCGUCAUCCACGCCGUCGUGAUGAGCAUGUGAUUAUAACAGCUCGUGUGGAGGGAAAUGGAGGGACCAAGGAAGGGGGGAGGGAAGGAGAAGGGACGGAGGAGGGAGGGUAACAGCCGUAGAGCACUGGCGGCACACGUCCUCCUCCUCUCGUGACUCUUGCAGCACUGGCUCCCUCGCUGACCCUCUCCAGUAGUAUGUAGGAUUCUCCGUAUAAGACUUCUGCGUGUUAAACUUGCAGCGGUACAGGGAACAGGAAUGCAGACCGGCGCCACACUUCCUACCCUGGCCACACGGCGGAAACAAUCUUGGCUGUCUCGCCGCCUAAAACAGCGUUAACAUCUACGUCACCCCCUCGCCUGAGGUGUGCAAGUUUAGGAGACCUAGGCAACACUUCACCACCACAGGGCCUUGGUAGGUCGCACCAACUAUGGCCUCACCAACCAACCAGUCACCCACAGGAGCAUCACGACAACCGGUGAUCUGGCAGAUUAACGCCACCCUUCAGCCUCACCAGACUCAUCCACACUUGCACCAUACGGCUGCAAGGACUUAGUGGGAGGUAUGUAUGUGAUCAGACACACUGAACCUAGAGGACUGCUAAACUGCCUGAACUAGAGAAUAACCUCAGAAGGCUUAGUGAGACUAAUUUUCUGGCUCACCAUUUCAUCCACUGACCAGCACCAGCACCAGCACCACCACCCCACAGUCUUACCCACAUCACCCCCACCACAAGAUGGUACUUAUCAGAACGCUUGCCUACACCAGCACCAUCAUAAUCAGAGGGUCCUAAGAGGUCGUCACCCACCCUUCCUAACCACUCAAGCACACCAACUACAUAGAGGGACUUGGAGAUUAGCACAAAUUUACAGACUCACCCAUCAAUCAGAUGGUCAUAACGACUAGAGAUGUGCCGAUAGUAUCGGUAUUGGCAAGGUGAAAAUAUUGCCAAUAUUCUGAUACUUUUCUGGCUUACUUAUUAUGUGAUUCAAGACUUUUUAUUAGUAUCAACUUUCUAGACCAUCCAGUUAUAGUUAUUCCCAGAUUAUUUCUAAAUUUAAAAUUCAAGUAAUUCUAUACUUUUAUAAUCUUACAUACAUGAAAUCUAAAUAAAGUCUCAGUAUCAGCAAAAUAUCAGCCGUUUGUUAGUAUUGCAGAAUCAGUACCAGUAUCAGCCAACAUCGUAGUAUCAGCACAUCUCUAAUAAAGACUUAAUGCCCUUAUAUAUUAUUCUUUCCUCAAAUCCCUUCCCUUCUAUUCUACUGUAUCUCCCCUCCCAACAGCCUCUUGCAGACUACACUCUUGUUAUUCUCUCUCCUCUAAUCCUUAUCUUUCUAUUCUCCCAUCUCUCCUCUUUCUUUCAAUGGCCUCUAUGAUCUUAUUUUCUUCCUUUUGACCCUUACCUUUCCCUUCCUUUAGGCAACUGCUGCCCCUCAGCCUCGAGGGCCCUUUAAGGAAAUUUAUACUAAAUUACAGCUUCCCUCAUCCACCCCAACCAGU